AGAGUUUGAUCAUGGCUCAGAUUGAACGCUGGCGGCAGGCCUAACACAUGCAAGUCGAACGGUAACAGGAAGCAGCUUGCUGCUUCGCUGACGAGUGGCGGACGGGUGAGUAAUGUCUGGGAAGCUGCCUGAUGGAGGGGGAUAACUACUGGAAACGGUAGCUAAUACCGCAUAAUGUCGCAAGACCAAAGAGGGGGACCUUCGGGCCUCUUGCCAUCGGAUGUGCCCAGACGGGAUUAGCUUGUUGGUGGGGUAACGGCUCACCAAGGCGACGAUCCCUAGCUGGUCUGAGAGGAUGACCAGCCACACUGGAACUGAGACACGGUCCAGACUCCUACGGGAGGCAGCAGUGGGGAAUAUUGCACAAUGGGCGCAAGCCUGAUGCAGCCAUGCCGCGUGUAUGAAGAAGGCCUUCGGGUUGUAAAGCACUUUCAGCGGGGAGGAAGGGAGUAAAGUUAAUACCUUUGCUCAUUGACGUUACCCGCAGAAGAAGCACCGGCUAACUCCGUGCCAGCAGCCGCGGUAAUACGGAGGGUGCAAGCGUUAAUCGGAAUUACUGGGCGUAAAGCGCACGCAGGCGGUUUGUUAAGUCAGAUGUGAAAUCCCCGGGCUCAACCUGGGAACUGCAUCUGAUACUGGCAAGCUUGAGUCUCGUAGAGGGGGGUAGAAUUCCAGGUGUAGCGGUGAAAUGCGUAGAGAUCUGGAGGAAUACCGGUGGCGAAGGCGGCCCCCUGGACGAAGACUGACGCUCAGGUGCGAAAGCGUGGGGAGCAAACAGGAUUAGAUACCCUGGUAGUCCACGCCGUAAACGAUGUCGACUUGGAGGUUGUGCCCUUGAGGCGUGGCUUCCGGAGCUAACGCGUUAAGUCGACCGCCUGGGGAGUACGGCCGCAAGGUUAAAACUCAAAUGAAUUGACGGGGGCCCGCACAAGCGGUGGAGCAUGUGGUUUAAUUCGAUGCAACGCGAAGAACCUUACCUGGUCUUGACAUCCACGGAAGUUUUCAGAGAUGAGAAUGUGCCUUCGGGAACCGUGAGACAGGUGCUGCAUGGCUGUCGUCAGCUCGUGUUGUGAAAUGUUGGGUUAAGUCCCGCAACGAGCGCAACCCUUAUCCUUUGUUGCCAGCGGUCCGGCCGGGAACUCAAAGGAGACUGCCAGUGAUAAACUGGAGGAAGGUGGGGAUGACGUCAAGUCAUCAUGGCCCUUACGACCAGGGCUACACACGUGCUACAAUGGCGCAUACAAAGAGAAGCGACCUCGCGAGAGCAAGCGGACCUCAUAAAGUGCGUCGUAGUCCGGAUUGGAGUCUGCAACUCGACUCCAUGAAGUCGGAAUCGCUAGUAAUCGUGGAUCAGAAUGCCACGGUGAAUACGUUCCCGGGCCUUGUACACACCGCCCGUCACACCAUGGGAGUGGGUUGCAAAAGAAGUAGGUAGCUUAACCUUCGGGAGGGCGCUUACCACUUUGUGAUUCAUGACUGGGGUGAAGUCGGAACAAGGUAACCGUAGGGGAACCUGCGGUUG
rnacentral:rRNA from 1 species